rnacentral:rRNA from 1 species
ACGGAGGGUCCGAGCGUUGUCCGGAAUUAUUGGGUUUAAAGGGUGCGUAGGCGGUUUUUUAAGUCAGAGGUGAAAUCCUAUAGCUCAACUAUAGAACGGCCUUUGAAACUGGAAAACUUGAGUACACUAGAGGUAGGCGGAAUUUAUGGUGUAGCGGUGAAAUGCAUAGAUACCAUAAAGAACACCGAUAGCGAAGGCAGCUUACUGGAGUGUAACUGACGCUGAGGCACGAAAGCGUGGGUAGCGAACAGG